rnacentral:rRNA from 1 species
CGCCAUGACAGCUGCUACCAUGCAGUCGAGCGGUAGCACAGAGAGCUUGCUCUCGGGUGACGAGCGGCGGACGGGUGAGUAAUGUCUGGGAAACUGCCUGAUGGAGGGGGAUAACUACUGGAAACGGUAGCUAAUACCGCAUAACGUCGCAAGACCAAAGAGGGGGACCUUCGGGCCUCUUGCCAUCAGAUGUGCCCAGAUGGGAUUAGCUAGUAGGUGGGGUAACGGCUCACCUAGGCGACGAUCCCUAGCUGGUCUGAGAGGAUGACCAGCCACACUGGAACUGAGACACGGUCCAGACUCCUACGGGAGGCAGCAGUGGGGAAUAUUGCACAAUGGGCGCAAGCCUGAUGCAGCCAUGCCGCGUGUAUGAAGAAGGCCUUCGGGUUGUAAAGUACUUUCAGCGGGGAGGAAGGUGUUGAGGUUAAUAACCUCAGCAAUUGACGUUACCCGCAGAAGAAGCACCGGCUAACUCCGUGCCAGCAGCCGCGGUAAUACGGAGGGUGCAAGCGUUAAUCGGAAUUACUGGGCGUAAAGCGCACGCAGGCGGUCUGUCAAGUCGGAUGUGAAAUCCCCGGGCUCAACCUGGGAACUGCAUUCGAAACUGGCAGGCUAGAGUCUUGUAGAGGGGGGUAGAAUUCCAGGUGUAGCGGUGAAAUGCGUAGAGAUCUGGAGGAAUACCGGUGGCGAAGGCGGCCCCCUGGACAAAGACUGACGCUCAGGUGCGAAAGCGUGGGGAGCAAACAGGAUUAGAUACCCUGGUAGUCCACGCCGUAACGAUGUCGACUUGGAGGUUGUGCCCUUGAGGCGUGGCUUCCGGAGCUAACGCGUUAAGUCGACCGCCUGGGGAGUACGGCCGCAAGGUUAAAACUCAAAUGAAUUGACGGGGGCCCGCACAAGCGGGUGGAGCAUGUGGUUUAAUUCGAUGCAACGCGAGGAUCUUACCUACUCUUGACAUCCAGAGAACUUACCAGAGAUGCUUUGGUGCCUUCGGGGAACUCUGAGACAGGUGCUGCAUGGCUGUCGUCAGCUCGUGUUGUGAAAUGUGGGUUAGUCCCGCAACGAGCGCAACCCUUAUCCCUUUGUUGCCAGCGGUCCGGCCGGGAACUCAAAGGAUA